UUUUUUUUUUUUAUACAAAUUUGGUGCACCUCAAACGCUGCUUACAGACCAGGGUACAGAGUUUCUCAAAAAGCUCGCCAUACCACCUACAAACCAAUGGUCUAGUGGAGAACCUGACAAUUCAAAGGUCCUUAAAUUGGUUGCAGACCAUCCACAUAGAUGGGACGAGGUGCUGUAACUAACAAUGUUUGCCCUGCGGACCAAACGUCAUUUCACAACCAAACAUUCCCCAUAUUAUUCGAUGAUUGCCAGGGAGGCCAGGUAUCCAUCACAGAUACCACCACAAUAUGAGAUCACUGAUCAGAAGAUUGAGAGGCUAAUUUCACAGGAGGUUGUGAGCCGAGGCCUUUCUGAGCAGGAAGGAACCUACCAGGAAGUGUCCUCAGAUAUUCAAGAGUCAUGAAAAGGUUAGGCAGAGGAAAAGGCAACGGGCUGAGGAGGAAAACUUUAAGGUGGGUGACAAAGUUCUUCUAAAGAACAUCAGGCAGGAGCAAAGGGAGGGUGGGAAAAUGAAGGCAGACAUGUUGGGUCCCCUCAUGAUCACUAAAAUUGAGGGCAAGAGUGUGGAGCUCAUAUCGGAGAAGCAAAGCUAAAAAUU